UACAGAGGGUGCGAGCGUUGUUCGGAAUUAUUGGGCGUAAAGGGAGUGUAGGCUGUUUGGAAAGUCUUCUGUGAAAUCUACGGGCUCACCCCGUAAAGUGCAGAGGAAACUUCCAGGCUUGAGUGUCGGAGAGGAUAGGGGAAUACCCGGUGUAGAGGUGAAAUUCGUAGAGAUCGGGUGGAACACCAGUGGCGAAGGCGCCUGUCUGGCUGACAACUGACGGCUGAGACUCGAAAGCAUGGGGAGCAAACAGG
rnacentral:rRNA from 1 species